AGUGAACGCUGGCGGUAGGCCUAACACAUGCAAGUCGAACGGCCGCACAGUAAGAGCUUGCUCUUACGGGUGGCGAGUGGCGGACGGGUGAGGAAUACAUCGGAAUCUACUUUUUCGUGGGGGAUAACGUAGGGAAACUUACGCUAAUACCGCAUACGACCUACGGGUGAAAGCAGGGGAUCUUCGCACCUUGCGCGAUUGAAUGAGCCGAUGUCGGAUUAGCUAGUUGGCGGGGUAAAGGCCCACCAAGGCGACGAUCCGUAGCUGGUCUGAGAGGAUGAUCGGCCACACUGGAACUGAGACACGGUCCAGACUCCUACGGGAGGCAGCAGUGGGGAAUAUUGGACAAUGGGCGCAAGCCUGAUCCAGCCAUGCCGCGUGGGUGAAGAAGGCCUUCGGAUUGUAAAGCCCUGUUGUUGGGAAAGAAAAGCAGCAGGUUAAUCCCCCGCUGUUCUGACGGUACCCAAAGAAUAAGCACCGGCUAACUUCGUG
rnacentral:rRNA from 1 species